UCAAGGGGCUUACACUCUGGGAAGAUAGGUAACAUUGAAUAAAUGGCAAGAAACCAAUAUGUGAUUACAGAUCAUUGAUAAGUGCUGCAAAGGAAAACAAGAGGACUCUAUGAAGGAGAAUUACCAGUCUCUACCUCUAUGUCCAUCAUUCAAUAAAUAUUUAGUCAAUCCUAAUGUGUGCCAGGCAGCAUUCUUGCUGGGAACACAGCAUUAAACAAAACAGAACAAAACAGACUAAGUUCCUCUUCUCAUGAAGCAGGGGCACAGAUCAUGGAAACCACUAUCAGAACUUGGGAUUUCAUUUAUGUCCAAUGUGAGUCAGGCAUCUCUCCUGGUGGCUGUCUUCCAUGUGGUGACUUAUGUAUCCAGGAUCCUUCUACUGUGUUUCUCCUCCAUUGCGAAGUCCUUCACUUCCAGCACCUGAGACAUUUUUUGGGUAUAUCUACAAGUGGCAUAUAUCACUUCUGCCCACAUUCACCUGGGUAGAACUCAAUCACAUUGUUUCACCUAACUGCAAGUGAGGCUGUGGAAUAUAGUCUCCCUAUGUGCCCAAGCAGAAGAAACAGGAUUGUGUGACUCUACAAUGUGUGAUUGCUCCUGGUGAAUCAAAAGGAUAAAGCUGCUGAUUCUGCAAUUUGAUAACCCAACCAUGCUGACCUCAAAGUGUAGUCAAUCCAUGAAGUUCCUCCCACCACAGCUCAUCCUGAACACUGCCCACCUGAGUCAUCAAGAAAGGUUUAAGUACAUUAUCUGUGCUCUGUUUAAUAUGUCCGUGAAGUGUGUCCUAAAUUUAGUUAUUUCUAGGACCUCUUUCUAGUUUGCAAGUAAGCCAGGUUCUACUGCUGUCAAGUGUUACUCAUGGCUAACUGAGGAAAAGGGGUUCAAAAACAUUGAGAAGACGAAAAGGAGGGAGAAGGCUGGGUUAAUGGGGACGGAGGUAAGGGGUGAGACCCCGGCUAAACAGUGAAGAUAAAAACAGACAUGUAAAUGAGAGAACCGGAAGAGAAGGUAAUGGUGAAAGUCAAUACGGGAAGGAAAGGGGUUGUAGGGGACAAACACUGAGAGGGCAAGAACUUGGAGUAGGUGAAACUAAGGUGAGCGAGGAGGCUGAAGAGAGGUCAGCUGCAGCGGGAAAGAGGGAAGGGCCCUUUAAGAGACACAUCAAGCCGCAGGUGUGGGCCACGAGGCUGGCGCAGGGCUGUCGCUUCACGCGCCGCAGACUCAUCCAGAAGCGCCUUGGGAGCUGCGGAGCCCUAGAGCCUCCAUCCGGGCAGCAAAGCAGCUCACGUGUCCCACCCGGGAAGGGCAGGAGUGGGCGAGGAAUGGUGGAGGGAAAGGAGGGAAAGCGGAGAAACAGGAGGGAGGGGGAAAGCUGCCGCUGCAGAAAAGAAACGAGUAAGCCCCUUUGUGCUUGGCCUGCGAGGUGUUUCCUUCCCGAGCAGACUUGAAGCUGUCACCUCUCAGUCUGGGUUUGGAAUAAAUACACUCGCCCACCGAGAGAUGAGGCGGCGCCUGGCCGCACCUGGGAGGUACCUGGUCGCACCUGGAAGUGCCUGGUCUCCCCUGGCAGGUACCUGGCC
rnacentral:lncRNA from 1 species